rnacentral:rRNA from 1 species
AUUGAACGCUGGCGGCAUGCUUUACACAUGCAAGUCGAACGGUAACAGGCCGCAAGGUGCUGACGAGUGGCGAACGGGUGAGUAAUGCAUCGGAACGUGCCCAGUCGUGGGGGAUAACUACUCGAAAGAGUAGCUAAUACCGCAUACGAUCUAUGGAUGAAAGCGGGGGACCGUAAGGCCUCGCGCGAUUGGAGCGGCCGAUGUCAGAUUAGGUAGUUGGUGGGGUAAAGGCUCACCAAGCCAACGAUCUGUAGCUGGUCUGAGAGGACGACCAGCCACACUGGGACUGAGACACGGCACAGACUCCUACGGGAGGCAGCAGUGGGGAAUUUUGGACAAUGGGCGCAAGCCUGAUCCAGCAAUGCCGCGUGCAGGAAGAAGGCCUUCGGGUUGUAAACUGCUUUUGUACGGAACGAAACGGCUCUGGUUAAUACCCGGGGCUAAUGACGGUACCGUAAGAAUAAGCACCGGCUAACUACGUG